rnacentral:rRNA from 1 species
AGACCCGAAACCCGGUGAUCUAGCCAUGGGCAGGUUGAAGGUUGGGUAACACUAACUGGAGGACCGAACCGACUAAUGUUGAAAAAUUAGCGGAUGACCUGUGGCUGGGGGUGAAAGGCCAAUCAAACCGGGAGAUAGCUGGUUCUCCCCGAAAGCUAUUUAGGUAGCGCCUCGUGAAUUCAUCUCCGGGGGUAGAGCACUGUUUCGGCUAGGGGGCCAUCCCGGCUUACCAACCCGAUGCAAACUGCGAAUACCGGAGAAUGUUAUCACGGGAGACACACGGCGGGUGCUAACGUCCGUCGUGAAGAGGGAAACAACCCAGACCGCCAGCUAAGGUCCCAAAGUCAUGGUUAAGUGGGAAACGAUGUGGGAAGGCCCAGACAGCCAGGAUGUUGGCUUAGAAGCAGCCAUCAUUUAAAGAAAGCGUAAUAGCUCACUGGUCGAGUCGGCCUGCGCGGAAGAUGUAACGGGGCUAAACCAUGCACCGAAGCUGCGGCAGCGAACGUAUCACCCAAGACAACUUUACGGAGUUGACGAUUGACGGAGCGAAGCGACGUCAAAGCGUUCAUUAAAGUCGAGUUGGCUUAGGGAUACGUUCGUUGGGUAGGGGAGCGUUCUGUAAGCCUGUGAAGGUGUGUCGUGAGGCAUGCUGGAGGUAUCAGAAGUGCGAAUGCUGACAUAAGUAACGAUAAAGCGGGUGAAAAGCCCGCUCGCCGGAAGACCAAGGGUUCCUGUCCAACGUUAAUCGGGGCAGGGUGAGUCGACCCCUAAGGCGAGGCCGAAAGGCGUAGUCGAUGGGAAACGGGUUAAUAUUCCCGUACUUGGUGUUACUGCGAAGGGGGGACGGAGAAGGCUAUGUUGGCCGGGCGACGGUUGUCCCGGUUUAAGCGUGUAGGUGUGUGUUCUAGGUAAAUCCGGUUCACUUUAACACUGAGGCGUGACGACGAGGCACUACGGUGCUGA